rnacentral:rRNA from 1 species
AUUGAACGCUGGCGGCAGGCCUAACACAUGCAAGUCGAGCGGAUGAAGGGAGCUUGCUCCUGGAUCCAGCGGCGGACGGGUGAGUAAUGCCUAGGAAUCUGCCUGCUAGUGGGGGAUAACGUCCGGAAACGGGCGCUAAUACCGCAUACGUCCUGAGGGAGAAAGUGGGGGAUCUUCGGACCUCACGCUAUCAGAUGAGCCUAGGCCGGAGUAGCUAGUUGGUGGGGUAAAGGCCUACCAAGGCGACGAUCCGUAACUGGUCUGAGAGGAUGAUAAGUCACACUGGAACUGAGACACGGUCCAGACUCCUACGGGAGGCAGCAGUGGGGAAUAUUGGGCAAUGGGCGAAAGCCUGAUCCAGCCAUGCCGCGUGUGUGAAGAAGGUCUUCGGAUUGUAAAGCACUUUAAGUUGGGAGGAAGGGCAGUAAGUUAAUACCUUGCUGUUUUGACGUUACCAACAGAAUAAGCACCGGCUAACUUCGUG